UGCUCCUAAAGCAGUUUUUUUUUAUCUGUAACUUUAGCCAUGGAGAACUGCAAAUAUGUUACUACUGCUCUCAAUAACAAUGCUUCCCUGAAUUUAUCAACUUGACAUUUGUAGCUAUCUACAAAUGUCAGUCAGAAAAAGUUAUGAUGGACUACUUUCUGGAUGACUUUUGUGCCAUGCUGACUCUCUCACUCUGAAAAGAACACAUUUUGAAAUCAGUGGAACAUAACCGGCCAAACAAGCUGUGCAAACUAAACGGAAACAACACAGGAUGUCUUAUAAAGUGAAGCUUUCAUCCAUGUAUACAGAUGGCUGGCUAGCUAGCUUUGUCUGAGAUUGCCGGUGUUGUGAAGGACAGCACUGUGACGGGGGUCACCAUCCCACAGCUGGUUGGACUGGAGGAUGGUACAGUGCUGGUGGAAAGCUAUGGCUGGCAACAACACCUGACUCCGUACUUCAGGCCAUUGCCACAUACUGUAUCAAGCAGUACCAGCACUUCAGCUUCAAUGCUCUGGAGCCUGGUUUUGUCGCCAAAGAGCGUUCUGGCUGUCGGGACCAGGUUUCAGCUGCUGCGCAUCUUUCCUCCCAUAGAUGGUCUGCCUGUAAAAGCACCACCUGGACUGGCCAUAGACAAAAUAUAUUUUUGACAAGUUCAGGGAGUUUAGCGACGAAGAGGCUAUGGACAUCACAUGUCCUGGACCAAAGUCAAGGGCAGGGCAGAAACAGGCUCUCUGAAUAUAGAUUCCCUUGUUCAUGCGUGGUUUGGACAGACCAGUCAUCAGCACUAUCACACACACCAUACUUUGCUGCUACAAUUUAUUUAUCCUGCUGCUCAGCCACUUUACCCUGAUUGUAUGCAUAUAACUACCUCGUCUAUCACUGAUAUUAUUAUUGAUAUUGUUCUUGCACAUACUGUAUAUGUUAUUUAUAUUGACACUAUCCAUUUCUGAUAUUUUUACUAUGCAAGUAACCAUUUGGCUGUACCGUUUACACCUUCUGUAGAGACCAUCCACUUAGCAACAUAUUGAUAUAUAAUUAAUAUUGAUGUGUGGUCGUAACAUGAUUUUGUGACAUACCACAACAAUAUAAUGUGACCGUAUCAAGUGUCCACCCUUAUAAAUAUAUGGCGCAUGCAUCUGUUUAUGUACAGUACAUGUGCACCUCACUUAGGUUUCAACUCAGGUUGCAUUGCCUUUACUUAUGUAUGGAUUACUAUGUGAUAAGUGCAUGUGUAACAGUAUAUAAAGUAUGCUAAUGUACUGGUGUGAAGGUAUUUGGGCAGUGCUGUAAAGUACUUAAGUAAAAAUACUUGAAAGUACUACUUAAGCAGUUUGUGGUAUCUGUACAUUACUUUACUAUUUUAUAUUUUUGGCUACUUUUACUUCACUACAUUCGUAAAGAAAAAUGUA